GACGAACGCUGGCGGCGUGCCUAACACAUGCAAGUCGAACGGAGUUAAGAGAGCUUGCUUUCUUAACUUAGUGGCGAACGGGUGAGUAACGCGUGAGGAAUCUGCCUUUCAGUGGGGGACAACAGCCGGAAACGGCUGCUAAUACCGCAUAAUGUCAUUUGGGGGCAUCCCUGAAUGACCAAAGAUUUAUUGCUGAAAGAUGACCUCGCGUCUGAUUAGCUAGUUGGUGAGGUAAUGGCUCACCAAGGCGACGAUCAGUAGCCGGACUGAGAGGUUGAACGGCCACAUUGGGACUGAGAUACGGCCCAGACUCCUACGGGAGGCAGCAGUGGGGAAUAUUGGGCAAUGGGGGAAACCCUGACCCAGCAACGCCGCGUGAAGGAAGAAGGCCUUCGGGUUGUAAACUUCUUUUAGUAGGGACGAAGAACGUGACGGUACCUACAGAAAAAGCAACGGCUAACUACGUGCCAGCAGCCGCGGUAAUACGUAGGUUGCAAGCGUUGUCCGGAAUUACUGGGUGUAAAGGGCGUGUAGGCGGAGCUGCAAGUCAGAUGUGAAAUCCCGGGGCUCAACCCUGGAACUGCAUUUGAAACUGUAGCCCUUGAGUAUCGGAGAGGCAAGCGGAAUUCCUAGUGUAGCGGUGAAAUGCGUAGAUAUUAGGAGGAACACCAGUGGCGAAGGCGGCUUGCUGGACGACAACUGACGCUGAGGCGCGAAAGCGUGGGGAGCAAAACAGGAUUAGAUACCCUGGUAGUCCACGCUGUAAACGAUGAAUACUAGGUGUGGGGGGGACUGACCCCUUCCGUGCCGCAGUUAACACAAUAAGUAUUCCACCUGGGGAGUACGACCGCAAGGUUGAAACUCAAAGGAAUUGACGGGGGCCCGCACAAGCAGUGGAAUUAUGUGGUUUAAUUCGACGCGACGCGAAGAACCUUACCAGGACUUGACAUCCUACUAACGAAGCAGAGAUGCAUUAGGUGCCCUUCGGGGAAAGUAGAGACAGGUGGUGCAUGGUUGUCGUCAGCUCGUGUCGUGAGAUGUUGGGUUAAGUCCCGCAACGAGCGCAACCCCUAUUGUUAGUUGCUACGAAAGAGCACUCUAGCGAGACUGCCGUUGACAAAACGGAGGAAGGCGGGGACGACGUCAAAUCAUCAUGCCCCUUAUGUCCUGGGCUACACACGUAAUACAAUGGCACUCAACAAAGGGAGGCAAAGCCGCGAGGUGGAGCAAACCCCCAAAAAGUGUCUCAGUUCGGAUUGCAGGCUGCAACUCGCCUGCAUGAAGCUGGAAUUGCUAGUAAUCGUGGAUCAGCAUGCCACGGUGAAUACGUUCCCGGGCCU
rnacentral:rRNA from 1 species